GCUUUUAAGGCAAUCUUACUAUGAAACCAAACCUAAGUAGCAACCUCUAAAUGUUUCUCAGUAUGACCACAAGAGAAGUGAAUGCUAUGGUUUUUUUUUUUAUUUUGAAAAGUAUAAAACAACAUGAAUUAAAAUAUUCACCUUGGAGUUAGAGUGGAGCUCAAAGUUGGUAUGUGUGAGGCUCUGGGUUCUGUCCAAUCACCAAAAAGAAAAGACAGACAAACAAAUCCUACUAACCUAGUUAUUCUAAAACACACACACACACUACUGACAUUCUCAGCCAUAUUUUCAUCGGAACCUCUUAGGCACCUAACAAAAGAAUGCUUCCUCCUUUACCGUGCGCAGCUCUAGUAGCUGUUAGCAGGAGAAAAAAGUUUCAGUUGUGUCGGGGACUGAGCGGAGAAAUUAGGAUGGCUGGCUUUGAAAAAUAGUUAAGUUUUUGCCAGUUGCCUAGGGGCUCUGAUUUACCGCAGGCACGUGGAGAAGUGUAGGCUUGAGAUCAGGAGAGAUGUCUGGGGGUGAGUGGGAGAGCUUGUCCACGGAACUGUUCACCCACAGGGAGGCGGGUUCCCAGCUGCCUACGGUUCAUCUCCCACUGUCCACAGCAACGUGCCAAAGGCAGAGCUCAGGCUGAUUCGGGUGUGAGUCACACUCCCGCUUCGGUGCGGUCUGAGUCAGAUGGCAGCUGUCGAACACUGAGCCCCACUCACCUUCCCUCCAACGCACAGGCUCUACCGCCAACUCUCAUCCUCUCUCCUUUGCCUUGUCUAGUUCUUACCAAGUGCCCACACAUGACAACUCAGAGGCAUUCGAGGGAGACGAGUCUAAAGUCAACUUGAUGCCUUCCACCAAGAACUGUUUAAGUCUGUUUCUUCCCAUCUUACCUAAACAUUUGAGAUUACUCAUUUUCUCUAUUUUUGUGGGGUAGGGAGCACAUGUGUGCCACGGCACAUGCGCAAAGGUCAGAAGACAACUUGAGUCGGCUCUUUCCGUUAUGGUGAGCCCUGGGAUUGAAAUUAGCUCAUCAGGCGCAGCAGAAGGGGACCUUUCCUGCCGAGCUAUUGAGCUGGCAUUUUUAUGCAUAAAAUUGGAGUCACACUGCAGCUACUCUUUGUUGACCCUUUUUUUACUUAAGACUGUAUCAGGCCAUUUCAGCCAUUUUCUCAGCUAUUCCAAUGUGUGUGUGUGUGUGUGUGUGUGUGUGCAUACCUGUGCGUUUGCUAGCUGAGUAACUCAUCAUAUUUCAUCUUUUAUUCUUAAGCAUUUUAGUUUCCAGAUUUUUGUUUCGUUUUGGUUUUAUUUUGCUUGUGUUUUCAUCUUCUCUUUUAUUCUCAUUUAUGAAUUCAUUUUACCCUUCUGAAAGUGUCCUAGCCCCUCAGGAGGGAGGACACAUACCACUGUGACUUUGUGCAGUUGUACCUGUCUGGGACUUUGUUUUUCCUACAUAAAGCAAGGUCCCCACUCAUAAGUAAGGUGGGCAAAGUGCCUGGCACACAACGGAUGCUAUCAGACGGCAACUUUUUAUUUCAUAAGUAGGCUGCUUGGAAAUCGUCAGAACUCAAUUAAGAUGAAAAUAGAUCACAUUUGACCUCUAGCUAUCUUAUGCCUACUAUCCUAAGAGGGCUCGUUCUUGCCUUCCAUUCAUACUGAAGAGUAUUCCUCUUGAAAAUACAUUUUGCAGACAUUAAAAUCCUGUAAUUCCGAAUUCAAUUACAGGGAAGUGGUCAUCAGUGAAAGAAAUUGGCACUGAUGUGGAAUGAGAACCAACAGCUGUCUGAGGAAUGCAAGUAUUUAUAGCUCUCUGGAGCCCAGGUUAGGAAGCGGGCUGACACUUCUCCAGAGGAAAGCUCGUGGGUGGCCGACCUACCUACUGGCUGCUUAGUCACAGAGACUGUAUGGCCAUGAGGUCUUGGAAGCCUGUCAGCUGAGCGCUGAACACGUACAGAAAGAAGAAUUGAGAACUAGCCUUAGAGCAGAAAUGGGGACUGUGUAUUUGCUAUAGAGAAGAAAACCCAGGCACAGCUGUUCACAGGCCCACUGCCUGUAGUGCUAUUUCCUCUUCUCUUAAGAUGCCAGGUCAGACGUAU
rnacentral:lncRNA from 1 species